rnacentral:lncRNA from 1 species
AUGCUUUCCUGCAUCACGCAGCAAGGUCAAACCCCGGCACUGCCCGCCCCAGGGGAGCGAACGCGGCGCAGCUUCGCCCGCGCGGCACUGCAGGGACCUGCCCUCGCUCCCCGCGGGCUCCAGUCCACCGGGCUCCCACGAAACAUGUCGGCAGUCCCAUGCCCGGUGCUGGGCGUCAAAUUGCCCCGAGACUGCUGGCUCAGGCCAGGGCUUGUCGCCUCCUGUUGCAAUAACGCGGGCCGAUUGCCGGCUCCCGGCUGGGCUGGCUCCUGCCCUGCUCUGCUCUGGCAGGCAGGAUCUGGCCGGCCGCACACCCACCGAGCCCAGGGAAGCUCGCAGCACCAUCAGCACCUCUCCCAUCAUGCCGGGGAGGCGAAGUGUGUGCCCAGGCCAUCCUGUCCCAUGGCACGUGGUCCCCAGCCACCCCAGCACCUCCCUGGAGGUGUCACAACAUCGCUGCAAGCCGCCCGGUUCUGGCACCACCUGCGGUGUUCGGUGCCUCGUUCCCUGAAGCCAGGCACAUCCCUGAGUGAAUCCCAAAUCCCCCUCAAGCCUCCUGGGCUGCACAGCAUGGGGUGGCCACCCCUGCCACGAUGCAAACUGCCGACGUGCCAGGCUUCUACCAGAGCCACGGUGCCUUCUGUCCCAUUUGGGACGGGCCCCUGCAGGGUUUUUUGGGGGAGAGUAAAACCCCCUUACUGUGCCAACGGGCAAUAUUUGCACCUUUCUCAACAUCAGCAAAAUGCUUUGCUGCCAGCAUGGCUGUGGCAGGGCCCCGCUGCGCCACCGGGGCAGGAGCGGGGGCAAUGCUUCGGUGGGGGCCGCUUGGCACCGAGGGGGUGGUUUGGGGGCGAUGCACCACUGGGACCUGGCGCAGGGAUGGGGGGCACGAGUUUCUUCCUCAUACCAGGCGUUUCACAACGGCGGAGGGCAGCGGGGCCGUGCAUGCAGCAGCCUGACGCUGGGCUGAUCGGCACCGUCUUGCCUGGCAUGCGCUUGCGACCAGACAGCUGCCUCCCCCCUGCGGCUCCCCAUCCUCCGUUUUCCACCUCAAGGGACGCUCCCGAGCAGGGGGUUACCCUCCUGGCUUCUUCGUUUGGGUUGAUCGUGGCCGGAGGCUGCAGGAAAUGCAGGCAACAGACCCUGGAUCAUACUUACGGCUCAACCAACUGA